GGGGGCGUAAAGGUUUCGACGGGGGUUUUGAAGUCUGUUAAGCGGGUAGAGCGGGCGGAAGCUCUUUAAUCGCCGCACCUAAAAUUAAACGCUAACUCUAAUUCUAGAACCUUAGCUUACGCGGCUUGAUUUAAGCCGUGGCCUGCACGGGUAGGGACCACGGGACCCGUCAGGUUCUAAUCAGUGGCCAACGUCUGUACGGAGUUUCCCGGCCGGGCUGACGUAUUAGGGAAUACUCUCCUCCGGAGCCUGUUGACCGGCGCCGGGGGCGGGGAAUGCAAAGGAUCAACUGCACCCGGAGAAAUUCAGAUGGAGAGGCUUUCGGACAGGGGUUCGACUCCCCUCGCCUCCACCA
rnacentral:tmRNA from 2 species